UAUGCGAUCAUUGGUGUGAAUUGCAGAAUCCCGUGAACCAUCGAGUCUUUGAACGCAAGUUGCGCCCGAAGCCAUUAGGCCGAGGGCACGUCUGCCUGGGCGUCA
rnacentral:rRNA from 2 species